AUAAUUCAAAUAAUUUUUCAAACGUUAUAACUGAUUGACAGAUAAAUUUUCAUUAUUAUACGUAAACAACUACACACUUAUGAAGUGAAUUCAAACUUCUUAUCACUAAGCGGUCUACUCUUCGGUUAAACAAAUUUUGUAUAAAAGGUUGCACAAAAUCAGAAAGACCAUAUAGUUCAAAAGAAACGACUAAACCAAAAACUUCAAUAUGUUCAGUGCUAAAUACUUGAUCGUUGUAGCCUUGCUGGUAUUCUGCCUCUUCUGUCAAGAGGUUGUGGAGGCAAGCUUCCGCCACGAAUUGCACAAGGCCGCUCACAAGGUCGACAAGGUGGCUCACGCUGUUCAUAAGGCCCAGAAUGUGAUUGCGGCCGGUAGCGCUGUGGCUGGAGCUAUUGCCGGUGCCGCUGCUGCCUAGACUUGAUUUUUGACGACUGCUUACAUGGAAAACUGAACUUUAAACAACUUUAAUAUGUGCUUACUUUAUAGACUUAUGUAGACCAAAUAAAAAAAAAUAUUUUAGAUGCAUCAAA